GGGAGUGUGGCGUGAGAGCGUGUGAAGGAACUGAGAUGCGUGUGUCUCACGGCCAAAGCGUGAGAGUUGGCAGCCAUGCAGCUGUUUUCAGAAAAUAAUUUCUACAUGUUGUCCAACACAAUGCAAAGAAGCAUAAUUAAUGAAUAGUUUGCAAGCUAAGAACACAAAAGAGGUGAACAACCAUUUCAGUCCUAUGCACUGAACCGGCAAGUUCCACACUUGGCCUAUAGUGCAAUGGCCAGAGUGACCUGUGAUUGGACUUCCACCUCCUCAGACCCACAACAAUCCAUCUUAACCACAUCCUUGGACUCUCUGCCUGAACAUGACUGUAGUUAAGACUUAGAGUGGAUGCCGCCCAAGAAAUGGAAGAGAUUGUCUGAAUGGAUGACCUCCCUUCUAUUGACCCAUGAUGUAGAACCACAUCCAUGUUCCGGCAAUGGGUUCUCCCACACUCAUAACAGUUUAGAUCUAAUAAGUGACACUUUAUAAUAAAGGUGUAAAUCACAUAUUUAAAGCUUAACUACUACUAACUGCAUUAAAUAUUACAAGACAUGCCAAAUUCCUGUUGUCAUUAAAUGAUCAAGCCAAUAUGACUGAACCACUCAAGGAAUGUUAAAUUUGCACAUACUCCAUG
ensembl:lncRNA